rnacentral:rRNA from 1 species
AUUGAACGCUGGCGGCAGGCCUAACACAUGCAAGUCGAGCGGAUGAAGGGAGCUUGCUCCUGGAUUCAGCGGCGGACGGGUGAGUAAUGCCUAGGAAUCUGCCUGGUAGUGGGGGAUAACGUCCGGAAACGGGAGCUAAUACCGCAUACGUCCUGAGGGAGAAAGUGGGGGAUCUUCGGACCUCACGCUAUCAGAUGAGCCUAGGUCGGAUUAGCUAGUUGGUGGGGUAAAGGCCUACAAAGGCGACGAUCCGUAACUGGUCUGAGAGGGUGAUCGGUCACACUAGAAGUGAGACACGGUCCAGACUCCUACGGGAGGCAGCAGUAGGGAAUCUUGCACAAUGGGCGAAAGCCUGAUCCAGCCAUGCCGCGUGUGUGAAGAAGGUCUUCGGAUUGUAAAACUCUGUUAUUAGGGAAGAAGAGCUGUAUAUUAAACCCUUGCUAUUUUGACGGUACCUAAAAAAUAAGCAACGGCUAACUACGUG